rnacentral:rRNA from 1 species
AUUGAACGCUGGCGGCAGGCCUAACACAUGCAAGUCGAACGGUAACAGGAAGAAGCUUGCUUCUUUGCUGACGAGUGGCGGACGGGUGAGUAAUGUCUGGGAAACUGCCUGAUGGAGGGGGAUAACUACUGGAAACGGUAGCUAAUACCGCAUAACGUCGCAAGACCAAAGAGGGGGACCUUCGGGCCUCUUGCCCUCGGAUGUGCCCAGAUGUGAUUAGCUAGUAGGUGGGGUAACGGCUCACCUAGGCGACGAUCCCUAGCUGGUCUGAGAGGAUGACCAGCCACACUGGAACUGAGACACGGACCAGGAUCCUACGGGAGGCAGCGGUGGGAAAUAUGGCACAAUGGGCGCAAGCCUGAUGCAGCCAUGCCGCGUGUAUGAAGAAGGCCUUCGGGUUGUAAAGUACUUUCGGCGGGGAGGAAGGGAGUAAAGUUAAUACCUUUGCUCAUUGACGUUACCCGCAGAAGAAGCACCGGCGAACUCCGU